UUUAAAGCUCCUGUUGUUGUCAGAAGCAGAGUAUGAGGGCUUGCCACGGUAGCAGCUAGGCCAGCAAUAUAACGUAUGUUACAAAGUGACGUAUGUUUGUCCCUGAAGUAAAGGCUGGACUACAAUAGAG